UUUUUCUUGCAACUGUACAUAUAUACAUACAUACAUAAUGACAUACAGACAUUCAUUGAUACUGGCAUACAUACAUACAUACAGACAUACAUUCAUACAGACAUACAUUCAUACAUACAUACAUACAUUCAUAGUGACAUACAGACAUACAUAUAUACAUACAGACAUACAUUUAUACUCACAGACAUACAGAUAUACAUACAUAAUGACAUACAUGCAUACAUACAGACAUACAUUCAUACAUACAAACAUACAUUCAUACAUGCAUGCAUACAUACAUACAUACAUUCAUAAUGACAUACAGACAUACAUGCAUACAUACAGACACACAGACAUAUAUACAUACAUAAUGACAUGCAUACAGACACAGAGACAUACAUUCAUACAUACAUACAUUCAUAGUGACAUACAGACAUACAUAUAUACAUACAUACUGACAUACUCACAGACAUACAGAUAUAUAUACAUACAUACUGACAGACAUACAGACAUACAUACAUACAUAAUGACAUACAUACAAACAUACAUUCAUACAUGCAUGCAUACAUACAUACAUACAUACAUACAUUCAUAAUGACAUACAGACAUACAUGCAUACAUACAGACACACAGACAUAUAUACAUACAUAAUGACAUGCAUACAGACACAGAGACAUACAUUCAUACAUACAUACAUUCAUAGUGACAUACAGACAUACAUAUAUACAUACAUACUGACAUACUCACAGACAUACAGAUAUAUAUACAUACAUACUGACAGACAUACAUACAUACAUAAUGACAUACAUACAAACAUACAUUCAUACAUGCAUGCAUACAUACAUACAUACAUACAUACAUUCAUAAUGACAUACAGACAUACAUGCAUACAUACAGACACACAGACAUAUAUACAUACAUAAUGACAUGCAUACAGACACAGAGACAUACAUUCAUACAUACAUA